rnacentral:rRNA from 1 species
UUCUUUUUGAAAAUAAUAAAAAGUAGACCCUGCUCAAUGAAAUUUAAAUGGCUGCAAUUAUUUGCACUAAGGUAGCGUAAUCAUUUGUUUAUUAAUUGUAAACUUGUAUGAAAGGGUUAAUAAUUAUUUACUUUAUUUAAUUAAAAAAUUGAAUUUAAAUCUUUAUUAAAAAUGAUAAAAUGAUUUUUAGGGACAAGAAGACCCUAUAAAGCUUUAUAUUUAAUGAAUAUUAAUUAUUUUAUUUAUAUUUAAUUGGGGCAAUAGCUUAUAUAAAAAUAAUAUAAGUUUUAUAAUUUAAGUUAAUUUUAUUUUUUGAUCCAACAGGGUUGAUUAUUUGAAAAAGUUACUUUAGGGAUAACAGUAUAAUUCUUAUUUUAAAGUUCUUAUUAAAAAUGAGGAUUAUAACCUCGAUGUUGAAUUAAUUUGAUUAAAAGGUGCAGAAGCUUUUUAUAAUUGGACUGUUCGUCCAUUAAAUAAUUACA